rnacentral:rRNA from 1 species
UACGAAGGGGGCUAGCGUUGCUCGGAAUCACUGGGCGUAAAGGGUGCGUAGGCGGGUCUUUAAGUCAGGGGUGAAAUCCUGGAGCUCAACUCCAGAACUGCCUUUGAUACUGAAGAUCUUGAGUUCGGGAGAGGUGAGUGGAACUGCGAGUGUAGAGGUGAAAUUCGUAGAUAUUGGGAAGGACACCGGUGGCGAAGGCGGCUCACUGGCUCGUAACUGACGCUCAUGCACGACAGCGUGGGGAUCAAACAGG